UGGGGAAUAUUGGACAAUGGGGGCAACCCUGAUCCAGCAAUGCCGCGUGUGUGAAGAAGGCCUGCGGGUUGUAAAGCACUUUCAGUAGAGAAGAAAAGCUGGCGGUUAAUAGCUGCCGGUCUUGACGUAACCUACAGAAGAAGCACCGGCUAACUCCGUGCCAGCAGCCGCGGUAAUACGGAGGGUGCGAGCGUUAAUCGGAAUUACUGGGCGUAAAGCGCGCGUAGGUGGCUUGGUAAGUCAAAUGUGAAAGCCCCGGGCUCAACCUGGGAAUUGCAUUCGAUACUGCCGAACUAGAGUAUGGGAGAGGGAAGUGGAAUUUCCGGUGUAGCGGUGGAAUGCGUAGAUAUCGGAAGGAACACCAGUGGCGAAGGCGACUUCCUGGCCCGAUACUGACGCUGAGGCGCGAAAGCGUGGGGAGCAAACAGGAUUAGAUACCCCGGUAGUCC
rnacentral:rRNA from 1 species